UGUAACGGGGGGAGAUGGGGCCGCUCGCGGUAACGCGGUCGGGCUGCUCGGUGUCACAGAAAGUUUGAGCCCCCCGGGCCGGUGCGUGGCCCUCUCGUGGAUACUGCUCCCCCCGUUCCCGGAUGGAAGCUUUGUGCUCUCCCUCGGAACCCUGGCUUUCCCGACCCCGGCACGGAAUGACAAAGAAAGCUUCCCCAGGCUCCCCAGGCCUUCCGAGCCGGAGCGAGGGAAUGACUUCAGAGCUGUCACCACUCUCCUUAGUAAGGAUCGUCAGUACCUCAAACCCUGACAUGAGGUAAAGUGAUAAACAUCAUAAACUACAAUUCACAUCCAACGUUUUAAUGGCAGAAAGCUGAAUCCUCUCAUGAGAGCACAGCCACUACUGAACAACCCCAGUAACCCCCCUCUUCCGAGCUUUAUCCAUGUGCCACAGUUAACCCUGCCUUUCAGAAAGAUGGCACCAACACGGAUUAGAAAUUCAAACAACCUUGAGUCAUUGUAUCCUACAAGGCAACUUUUCAAAAGGCUCUCAAGAAUUUCUGAUUAUUCAGCCUUCAUUUUGUUGCUUUGCCACUCAAAACCACCUCUGAGAAAGCCCCACGUCCAUCAGAAGAUACUUAUAUGGCCUAAGUUAUUUCAGCACCUAAUCAUCACCUGAUAGUCCCUGAGCCAGGGAAUACCAUUGUUUCUUCACAUUACACCAGCAAAGAAAAAGAUGCCUGAAGACCUUUGAAAAAAACCACAGAAUCUCAGACUGGUUUGGGUUGG